GAGUCUGGAGGGGCAGAGAAGUCAAUGGGAUGAUUUGAAAUGAGAGAUCAAUGCUAACCGGGUCCUUCCCAUAUUAGCCUUCAAGGAGGAAAUAUAAAUCAUGCCCUAGGAACACUGGGCAGGACAGGGGGCUGAUGCACCUGAUGGCUGGUUUCUGCACCUGCCAGCAACUGGGACUGGGACACCCCAAACUGGAGAGGCCUAGCCUGCCCUUAGGAUAGCCACAUGCCGCUUUCCUUGCUGAGGGAAUGAAUGGGCUCGGCCCACACACUCUGGACUAUAAUGUUCGCCAAAGAUCACUGCCAUAAUGAGGAAUGGAAACUUCCUCAUUCCCUUCAGGCCCACCCACCUCCCAGGAAGAAUGGAGCUGCUCAUAGCCCAGUGGGAAGAGUGACCACAGCAAGGGGUCAGACCCUGGCUGUGAAGUCACUUUCUGGACACCCAGGACAGCUCCCAGGGGCCCCUGGGUUGUCAGCCUGCCCCUGGGCCCCCAACUGCAUGAGCCAAGGCUUUAACAGAAUCUGGUGGAGCCUCCCCAGGGCCAGCCCAGCUCACCGAGUCCUGCGCG